rnacentral:lncRNA from 1 species
AGAAUCUUGGACAUGCCAAGACCAAAUCAUUGCAGCCAGAGAGAUCACGAUGACAUUGCUGCAGAGCCAGUACAUCAGGCAGCACCGAGACUGUCUUGUGAGUCGGGACAAGCUGUACAAACAUCACCAGAGCCAGCGUGUCAACCGGGCCGUGUCACAGAUAAAUCUGUUCAAGUGCGACUAUUUACCCACAAUGAAGCAUCACAAGCAAGUGAAAAGAAAAUUCUGUCAACAAGUGCUACACAAACAGAGCCUCAAGAUGUUUCUUCAGGUGGCUUGUCU